rnacentral:rRNA from 3 species
GGACUACCCGGGUUUCUAAUCCCGUUUGCUCCCCUGGCUUUCGCGCCUCAGCGUCAGAAAGGGUCCAGCACGUCGCUUUCGCCACCGGCGUUCCUUCCGAUAUCUACGCAUUUCACCGCUCCACCGGAAGUUCCACAUGCCCCUACCCCCCUCCAGGCGGCCAGUAUCAAAAGCUGUUUUCCAGUUAAGCUGAAAGAUUUCACCCCUGACUUGACCACCCGCCUACGCGCCCUUUAAGCCCAGUGAUUCCGAACAACGUUCGCACGGUUCGUCUUACCGCGGCUGCUGGCAC